CAGCCCUUGACAUGUCCUCUAUGGAUUCCAGAGACGGAAUCCUUCACUUCGGGUGGGAGGAACACAGGUGCUGCAUGGCUGUCGUCAGCUCGUGUCGUGAGAUGUUGGGUUAAGUCCCGCAACGAGCGCAACCCUCGGCCUUAGUUGCCAUCAUUUAGUUGGGCACUCUAAGGCGACUGCCGGUGAUAAGCCGGAGGAAGGUGGGGAUGACGUCAAGUCCUCAUGGCCCUUACGGGCUGGGCUACACACGUGCUACAAUGGCGGUGACAGAGGGAUGCAAAGGGGCGACCCUUCGCAAAUCUCAAAAAGCCGUCUCAGUUCGGAUUGGGGUCUGCAACUCGACCCCAUGAAGUUGGAAUCGCUAGUAAUCGCAGAUCAGCACGCUGCGGUGAAUACGUUCCC
rnacentral:rRNA from 1 species